rnacentral:pre_miRNA from 1 species
CACCUUCGCAGGCUGUGGGCCCCGGGCUGCGCUGGACUGGGCUGGGCAAAUAUCUCUUUGAGAGGCUCAUCCUCAAGUACAACUAGGAGC